rnacentral:rRNA from 1 species
GUUGUAUGGUUAAGUGACUAAGCGUACACGGUGGAUGCCUUGGCAGUCAGAGGCGAUGAAGGACGUGCUACCCUGCGAAAAGGGUUGGUGAGCUGGGAUGGAGCGCUAUAGCCAACCAUGUCCGAAUGGGGAAACCCACCUAAGAUAACUUAGGUAUCGUUAAGUGAAUACAUAGCUUAACGAGGCGAACCGGGAGAACUGAAACAUCUAAGUACCCCGAGGAAAAGAAAUCAACCGAGAUUCCGUUAGUAGCGGCGAGCGAACGCGGAGCAGCCCAGAGUCUGAAUCAGUGGAUGCGUUAGUGGAACGGAUUGGAAAGUCCGGCGAUACAGGGUGAUAGCCCCGUACACGAAGACGCAUUGCUGUGAGCUCGAUGAGUAGGACGGGACACGUGGUAUCCUGUUUGAAGAUGGGGGGACCAUCCUCCAAGGCUAAAUACUCCUGACUGACCGAUAGCGAACCAGUACCGUGAGGGAAAGGCGAAAAGAACCCC